AGGUGGGACUGUCACCUCCUACAGCGACAUACAAAGGCAGGGUGGGUAAGGCCAGGUUGUUAAAAGCCACACACCUCUUGCGGGCGGGACACAGUUAUGAGAGAGACUUUACCUAACAAAUGCAAUCAGUGUAACCAGGUUCUUCGUAGGUUCAACGAAUCCCCAACAAUAGGGAAAAAAAAAAAAAAUACUGCCCGCCUCCACCCGCCUCCGGCGCGCGGGACUGGAGCGCGAGCCGGGCAGGCGCGAGCAGAGCCCGCGGAGACUACAGCUCCCAGCAGGCGGCGCGGCAGGAGCUCACGCACGCGCAGCCCAGACCCUGGGCACAAGGACGCGCGGCGGGCUCCUUGGGAAAGAGAAUGGCUGCGGCGGGGCUGCGGCUUUCUUUACAGAGGCUCUUUGAGAUGCCGGCGGCGCUUGGGCGCCAGAGCCGAGUUUACAGCACGUCUCACGCCUUUGCUGACGUGCUACAGCUGCCGAAGGUGCAGCAGACGAAGCUGCUGUAUCCGCUGCAGGAACUCGAGCGGCACCUCGCUCCAGAUGCGAGGUCCGACCUUCACCUGAGAGUCUUCGACCCCAGCCUGGAGGACUUGGCGAGGGCCGAUACGGUGUUCACCGCUACCGCCCGGAACCGCAUCGAUUACGUCAGCUCGGCCGUCCGCCUCGACCAUGCCCCCGACAUCCCCUGGCCCGAGGUGUGUUUUAUAGGCAGAAGCAAUGUUGGAAAAUCCUCCCUCAUAAAGGCUUUAUUUUCACUGGCCCCUGAGGUUGAAGUCAGAGUCUCCAAAAAACCGGGACAUACAAAGAAAAUGAAUUUUUUUAGAGUUGGAAAAUAUUUUACAUUGGUGGACAUGCCAGGUUAUGGCUAUAGAUCUCCUGAAGAUUUUGUUGAAAUGGUAGAGACCUAUCUAAAAGAACGAAAGAAUUUGAAAAGAACAUUUUUAUUAGUGGAUAGUGUUGUCGGAAUUCAAAAAACAGACAAUAUCGCCAUAGAAAUGUGUGAAGAAUUUGCAUUGCCAUAUGUGAUGGUAUUAACAAAAAUUGACAGAUCUUCCAAGGGACAUCUUUUAAAACAAGUGCUUCAGAUACAGAAAUUUGUUAACACACAAACACAAGGAUGUUUUCCUCAGUUGUUUCCUGUAAGAAAGAACUGAAGAAAUUAAAACUUAUUCUGGAAAACAGCAAACUUUGUAGAAUCUUAAAGGAAAUGUGAUCAUCAGUGCUGUGACCUAUUCUGGAAUUCAUCUAUUGAGAUGCUUUAUAGCAAAUAUCACAGGAAAUCUUAGCUAGUAGCUCCCAGGUUAGCCAAAGA